rnacentral:rRNA from 1 species
CUCGAGGCCAGAUCUUUCCGGUUGAUCCCGCCGGACCUGACUGCUAUCGGAUUGAUACUAAGCCAUGCGAGUCUUUGUAGCAAUACAAGGCAGACGGCUCAGUAACACGUAGUCAAUCUACCCUAUGGACGGGGAUAACCUCGGGAAACUGAGAAUAAUACCCGAUAGAUCAUUAUGCCUGGAAUGGUUUAUGGUCGAAAUGAUUUAUCGCCGUAGGAUGGGACUGCGGUCUAUCAGCUUGUUGGUGAGGUAAUGGCCCACCAAGGCUAUAACAGAUACGGGCUCUGAGAGGAGAAGCCCGGAGAUGGGUACUGAGACACGGACCCAGGCCCUAUGGGGCGCAGCAGGCGAGAAAACUUUGCAAUGUGCGAAAGCACGACAAGGUUAAUCCGAGUGUUUUCUGCUAAAGAAAUCUUUUGUCAGUCCUAAAAACACUGAUGAAUAAGGGGUGGGCAAGUUCUGGUGUCAGCCGCCGCGGUAAAACCAGCACCUCAAGUGGUCAGGAGGAUUAUUGGGCCUAAAGCAUCCGUAGCCGGCCGUGUAAGUUUUCGGUUAAA